rnacentral:rRNA from 1 species
AGUGAACGCUGGCGGUAGGCCUAACACAUGCAAGUCGAACGGCAGCACAGUAAGAGCUUGCUCUUACGGGUGGCGAGUGGCGGACGGGUGAGGAAUACAUCGGAAUCUACUUUUUCGUGGGGGAUAACGUAGGGAAACUUACGCUAAUACCGCAUACGACCUACGGGUGAAAGCAGGGGAUCUUCGGACCUUGCGCGAUCGAAUGAGCCGAUGUCGGAUUAGCUAGUUGGCGGGGUAAAGGCCCACCAAGGCGACGAUCCGUAGCUGGUCUGAGAGGAUGAUCAGCCACACUGGAACUGAGACACGGUCCAGACUCCUACGGGAGGCAGCAGUGGGGAAUAUUGGACAAUGGGCGCAAGCCUGAUCCAGCCAUACCGCGUGGGUGAAGAAGGCCUUCGGGUUGUAAAGCCCUUUUGUUGGGAAAGAAAAGCAGCAGGUUAAUACCCCGCUGUUCCGACGGUACCCAAAGAAUAAGCACCGGCUAACUUCGG